GUGGGGAAUAUUGGGCAAUGGGGGAAACCCUGACCCAGCAACGCCGCGUGAAGGAAGAAGGUUUUCGGAUCGUAAACUUCUAUCCUUGGUGAAGAUAAUGACGGUAGCCAAGAAGGAAGCCCCGGCUAACUACGUGCCAGCAGCCGCGGUAAUACGUAGGGGGCAAGCGUUGUCCGGAAUGAUUGGGCGUAAAGGGCGCGUAGGCGGCCUGGUAAGUCUGGAGUGAAAGUCCUGCUUUUAAGGUGGGAAUUGCUUUGGAUACUGUCGGACUUGAGUGCAGGAGAGGUAAGCGGAAUUCCCGGUGUAGCGGUGAAAUGCGUAGAGAUCGGGAGGAACACCAGUGGCGAAGGCGGCUUACUGGACUGUAACUGACGCUGAGGCGCGAAAGUGUGGGGAGCAAACAGGAUUAGAUACCCCUGUAGUCC
rnacentral:rRNA from 1 species